UACGGAGGGUGCAAGCGUUAUCCGGAUUUACUGGGUUUAAAGGGUGCGUAGGUGGGUUGGUAAGUCAGUGGUGAAAUACUUUCGCUUAACGAAGGAACUGCCAUUGAUACUACCAGUCUUGAAUACAGUGGAGGUAGGCGGAAUGCGUCAUGUAGCGGUGAAAUGCUUAGAGAUGACAUAGAACACCAAUUGCGAAGGCAGCUGGCUACACAUAUAUUGACACUGAGGCACGAAAGCGUGGGGAUCGAAACAGG
rnacentral:rRNA from 1 species